rnacentral:lncRNA from 1 species
GAACCCCAGAGGUGCGGAGGCUUCUGGCCGCCACUCGGCGGCGCUUGCCGGAGGCUCGUGGCGGCGGCCGCAGGCCGAGAAAACCCUGCCCUCACAAGCCCCGGCUUCCCCUAGGCCCCUUGACACUUGUAGCCUCUUCACUUGCGGCCCCUGACCCGGGCCUGACCGGUUCGUGACUCUCCUGCCAAUCAGAGACAGAUUUCCUCCUGGCAACCGACCAAUCAUCGAGCACGGCUACUUCCGGCUCCUGCGUCGCUCCGGAAGCCCGCGAGUUCCGGAAGCCUUGGUAAUCCGGAUUCGGCUAGGAAAAGACAAGCAUUCCAGAGAAUGUUUCAGAGAAAGUUACGUGGAGCGUGGGCGUUUCGCAGACUCCUAAGAUAUUGCCACAGAUAUGACCCCAGUCUUCAGCAGUCAUCACCCUGA